rnacentral:rRNA from 1 species
AGAACGAACGCUGGCGGCAUGCCUAAUACAUGCAAGUCGAACGAACUCUUCGGAGUUAGUGGCGCACGGGUGCGUAACGCGUGGGAAUCUGCCCUUGGGUUCGGAAUAACAGUUGGAAACGACUGCUAAUACCGGAUGAUGACGAAAGUCCAAAGAUUUAUCGCCCAGGGAUGAGCCCGCGUAGGAUUAGCUAGUUGGUGAGGUAAAGGCUCACCAAGGCGACGAUCCUUAGCUGGUCUGAGAGGAUGAUCAGCCACGACUGGGACUGAGACACCGGCCCAGACUCCUACGGGAGGCAGCAGUAGGGAAUAUGGACAAUGGGCGCAAGCCUGAUCCAGCAAUGCCGCGUGAGUGAUGAAGGCCGUUAGGGUGUAAAGUCUUACUUUACCGAUAUGAUAAGUGAACUAGUACGCGGAAGAACGUAACCGCCCCGG